CAAUCUUCCUCUACUGCCUGGUUGCAACUGGUGGAUAGUGUUCUGUUGUAGAGUCGAUCUAAGCACCAGUUGAAAUCAGAGCUGUAGGGGAAGACCCUCAU